CUUUGGCAAGCUGCUGAGAUAUGCCGCAGACUAAAUGGUGUUCGAUUUACAAGCUGUAAAAGUGCCAAGGAUAGGACUGCCAUGUCGGUCACCCUAGAGCAGUGUUUGAUCCUACAGCAUGAACAUGGAAUGGCUCCACAGGUCUUCACUCAGGCUCUGGAGUGUAUGAGGAGUGAGGGUUGUCGGCGAGAAAAUACAAUGAAGAAUGUUGGAUGUCGCAAGUAUGCAUUUAAUUCCCUGCAACUGAAGGCUUUCCCAAAGUAUUACAGGCCUCCAGAAGGAACUUAUGGAAAAGUUGAAACAUAAGCAUACCAUGUCCUUUAAUUGCUGUUCCAUUAAAACAUGUGGAUACACUCUAGAUUAAUACAUGAUUGUGUCAUCCAGAAGAGAUAAAUAACCUUUUUGUACGUUUCACUAGGUUAUCCAGAGCAUGUUACUUACAGAAUUGGAAUCUAUAGUAACAAUUAUUCUGACACCUUAGCUUGAGAAUAGUGUGAUGACUCUCUGCCCGUUUAAAUAGCCUUCAGUGUAUGUAAGAUGAACAGAUAUUGUGCUACUUAAUAAUUACCUAUAUGCAAAGAGCUAGGUACCUCCUGGAUGGGCACGGACUCUGGGAACAGCAUUUAGGCAGCUGUUUCACGUAACAUCUUUUUAUACUGAGUUGACUUGAGAUUGAGCUUUUCAUAAACUUUUUAAAACUGAGAGUAGAACUCAAAAUUAAGUUGUAAAUAAAAAGGGAUUGGAUCCUAGACCGUCUAAUAACUGUAGAAUGCAUUGUUACAAUCAAGAAACAGAAGUUUAAC